CCCCUCCAAACACACGCUGACCCAUGCAGACACAAGCUGACCUAUACACACAGAGACCCAUACACACAAACAGACCCAUACAUACACACACACUGACCCAUGCAGACACAUGCUGACCCAUACAUAGACCGAUACAUACACACACACACUGACCCAUGCAGACACACAGAGACCCAUACACACCUAUACAUACAUACACACACCCAUACAUACACACACACACACAGAUCGAUCC